AGCAGUUCUGGAGGCUAAGGGCCUUGCUCACCGGCAUAGCAGACACGUGACAAUCAGGCCAAGGAUGGGACCCAGAGUGGAGGCUCACAGAAGGAAGCUGGAAUAUCCAGAGGACACCCACACCAUACAAGAUGAACGUGAAAAGCUUCAGACAGACAUGGCAGGAUUCAAACCCCCAACCCUGGGAUCGCGAACCAGCUUGCAGCCAUAUAUCCACAGCAAUUGCAAAAACUGAGGGGGUGAAGGUGCACCCUGCAGUGAUGGAAAAAUGGAGGAAUGUGAAGUUUUUCCACCUUCCCACCUCGACCGAAGCGAGCAGCCUUUUUCCCCAGGAAAAAUGCAUGCAGAGCAGCAUUCCAGAGCCCUGCACUGGGCCCAUAU